rnacentral:rRNA from 1 species
GGCUAUGUUGGCCGGGCGACGGUUGUCCCGGUUUAAGCGUGUAGGCUGGUUUUCCAGGCAAAUCCGGAAAAUCAAGGCUGAGGCGUGAUGACGAGGCACUACGGUGCUGAAGCAACAAAUGCCCUGCUUCCAGGAAAAGCCUCUAAGCAUCAGGUAACAUCAAAUCGUACCCCAAACCGACACAGGUGGUCAGGUAGAGAAUACCAAGGCGCUUGAGAGAACUCGGGUGAAGGAACUAGGCAAAAUGGUGCCGUAACUUCGGGAGAAGGCACGCUGAUAUGUAGGUGAAGUCCCUCGCGGAUGGAGCUGAAAUCAGUCGAAGAUACCAGCUGGCUGCAACUGUUUAUUAAAAACACAGCACUGUGCAAACACGAAAGUGGACGUAUACGGUGUGACGCCUGCCCGGUGCCGGAAGGUUAAUUGAUGGGGUUAGCGCAAGCGAAGCUCUUGAUCGAAGCCCCGGUAAACGGCGGCCGUAACUAUAACGGUCCUAAGGUAGCGAAAUUCCUUGUCGGGUAAGUUCCGACCUGCACGAAUGGCGUAAUGAUGGCCAGGCUGUCUCCACCCGAGACUCAGUGAAAUUGAACUCGCUGUGAAGAUGCAGUGUACCCGCGGCAAGACGGAAAGACCCCGUGAACCUUUACUAUAGCUUGACACUGAACAUUGAGCCUUGAUGUGUAGGAUAGGUGGGAGGCUUUGAAGUGUGGACGCCAGUCUGCAUGGAGCCGACCUUGAAAUACCACCCUUUAAUGUUUGAUGUUCUAACGUAGACCCGUGAUCCGGGUUGCGGACAGUGUCUGGUGGGUAGUUUGACUGGGGCGGUCUCCUCCUAAAGAGUAACGGAGGAGCACGAAGGUUGGCUAAUCCUGGUCGGACAUCAGGAGGUUAGUGCAAUGGCAUAAGCCAGCUUGACUGCGAGCGUGACGGCGCGAGCAGGUGCGAAAGCAGGUCAUAGUGAUCCGGUGGUUCUGAAUGGAAGGGCCAUCGCUCAACGGAUAAAAGGUACUCCGGGGAUAACAGGCUGAUACCGCCCAAGAGUUCAUAUCGACGGCGGUGUUUGGCACCUCGAUGUCGGCUCAUCACAUCCUGGGGCUGAAGUAGGUCCCAAGGGUAUGGCUGUUCGCCAUUUAAAGUGGUACGCGAGCUGGGUUUAGAACGUCGUGAGACAGUUCGGUCCCUAUCUGCCGUGGGCGCUGGAGAACUGAGGGGGGCUGCUCCUAGUACGAGAGGACCGGAGUGGACGCAUCACUGGUGUUCGGGUUGUCAUGCCAAUGGCACUGCCCGGUAGCUAAAUGCGGAAGAGAUAAGUGCUGAAAGCAUCUAAGCACGAAACUUGCCCCGAGAUGAGUUCUCCCUGACUCCUUGAGAGUCCUGAAGGAACGUUGAAGACGACGACGUUGAUAGGCCGGGUGUGUAAGCGCAGCGAUGCGUUGAGCUAACCGGUACUAAUGAACCGUGAGGCUUAACCUU